rnacentral:rRNA from 1 species
CCAAUAGCGUAUAUUAAAGUUGUUGCAGUUAAAAAGCUCGUAGUUGAAUUUCGGGAUCAACAUGUCGGUCGUGCCUCGGUACGUACUGGCAUCAUUGGUUACUCCCUUCUGACGAACCGCGAUGUCAUUUAUUUGGUGUCGUGGGGAAUCAGGACUGUUACUUUGAAAAAAUUAGAGUGUUUAAAGCAGGCUUACGCUUGAAUACAUUAGCAUGGAAUAAUGAAAUAGGACGUUUGAUUCUAUUUUGUUGGUUUCUAGGAUCGCCGUAAUGAUUAAUAGGGAUAGUUGGGGGCAUUAGUAUUCAAUUGUCAGAGGUGAAAUUCUUGGAUUUAUUGAAGACUAACUACUGCGAAAGCAUUUGCCAAGGAUGUUUUCAUUAAUCAAGAACGAAAGUUAGGGGAUCGAAGACGAUCAGAUACCGUCGUAGUCUUAACCAUAAACUAUGCCGACUAGGGAUCGGAUGAUGUUAAUUUUUUAAUGACUCAUUCGGCGCCUUACG